rnacentral:misc_RNA from 1 species
GAACAAUUAUAAGUUGAUUCUUGCGCCAUCUUCAAUGGUCUUUUGAGUAUCAAAUCUUCUGCUUCUUCAGAGAGUAGUCCCAAUGUGGGACUGAAAUAUUCUCAGAAUUCCUGUUGGGGGCAUUCACAAGUUGGACGCUCUAUAUAAGUAAGGAAAAACAAGGCAAAAAAGAGGAAGAAGGGAAGAAGUUGAAGAUUUUAAUUUUGAGGAUACAAGAAUGUGACACAUGUCAAUUUUUUUAGUGAACUGGGGACUUCACCAUUUUUAGUGCUGCUUGCAUUUGAAUUAU